UCGGCCUAUAGAGAUGAGCGCGCAACCCUAGAGUCAUCCGCGACUGGACCUAACGGUCAGGGGUCCUUUAGCUUUGCCUUUUUAUGAAUAGUAGAAGGGUUUGGCUUACACUCCAAUGGCAUGGAGGAUUCUCAUGCACUUCAUGCUUUCUAAUAGAUCAGGCUAUUGUGUAGUUCAAUAUUUAGAUUAGAUCAAUUUAUGACCACAUUUCCUCAUCCCACCUCUUCAGUGUGCAAACCUCUACCCAUUUUUAAAUUGUUUUAAUUUGUUUUACCAUGGAGAAGCUUCAGGAUCCAGGAAAGACCAGAUAACAGGAAGGGUAUAUGUUUUGAUUUAGCAGGAAUGAUCCCAUAUAGAGUUAAAUUGACUAAUUUAGACAACUGCCCUUUUUAGAAUGGUUUUUAACAGGUUGGUUUGAGGGGUUGAGAACUAUGGGGCUAGGGGGCUCCGCUAGGGGCGCCACGGAAGAUGGCCAACAAUACCAUCUCUCCAGCUCCCACGAGGUAAUUUAGAGGCUGAGAUGGGAGUAAUCAGCCUCCCAAAUACUUCCCGGUGGAAGGGAAGAUGCAGUCUCAUCCGCAGCUGCCCACAAACCACCCCCGAGUUCGUAAAGAAGGAGGGGGUGGGGGCACUGGAUGGAAAGCCCCGAGGGAGUUCGGAUCUGCUGGACGCUGUCUCUGUGAGCGCUUCAAGUUUCAUUUCUUAAGAUAAAGAUUGGAUUUAAGAAUUUUGGACAUGCUUCAGGCGAAGAAAGGGUAGUUAAUCUGCCAACUACAGCCACUGAGGUGUCAAGAAUGACGGGAGGAAGAAAGAUAACAUCAAAGAAUAACAUCUAAACCGAAGAUAAAAGACUCUCCUGUGACGCACCUUUAAUCAGGAUCCGCCAUUAUGAGACAGACUGAGUUGCAGAGAUUAAUAGUCAUAGGGGGAGGCGAGCUCUUACUUUGUUAUUAUAUCUGUAUUUCAAGUCCGAUUUGGCAAACCUCCUCUGGAAAGACUAAUGUUUGGUGCAACCUGUCUGAGAAAAUUAAUGAGCAAACGCCUAGAUUUUAUUUCAUUGGAAUUGAGAGAAGAUGGCGUCUGCCACCAGAGAAGGACUUUUGGAUUGAUUCGACAUAAACACCAGCAUGUGAGGACAUACUGCAAAUAAAAGACUUACCAGCUG